AUCUUGGCCAGGUCACAGUUGUAAAUGAGAACUUGUUCUCAACUGGCCUACAAAGGUGAAAUAAAAAAUGUAAUUAAUAAAAAUCUGUUUUCCAAAUGGCUCACCCCGUUCAUCCCUCCACUACCACCCCAUUCAGACAUCAGUUGUCCCUCCACUACCACCCCGUUCAGACAUCAGUUGUCCCUCCACUACCACCCCGUUCAGACAUCAGUUGUCCCUCCAAUACCACCCCGUUCAUCCCUCCAC
rnacentral:lncRNA from 13 species